ensembl:lncRNA
GCAUCUUUAAAAGUCCCAUCAGAGCUUGGAAAAUAUCAUCCAUAAAUCUCUCUGCUGCCUCACCGGCCUUUAGGGCAGCAGCGCUGAGAAAAUCAAUCGAUUAAAAAUACAGGAGGAAGAUUCAAGAUUAUUCAGAAAAAAAUUAUUCAAAGCUUUGAUCACUAGAGAAUGUUAGUUUAUCUUCCUUUUGAAAUCCCCAUUCUGAAGAUACACAUGUAGCUAAAGGGCUGAGCAUCUGCUUCUCCCUGUGCUAUGGAGUCCAACACACAGCUUCUGCUCUCCAAAUCUGAUGUAUUUCCAUGGUUCUCCUCAAAGAUAACUCACAGCUCACCUUGAGACACUUCAAACUUCAGCCUAAAUGGCUCACAAGGAGGAAUGAGCUAUUAUAAUCAGUAUAAAACAGGAAUGUGAUAACUGGAGUAUCUUGCAGCCAAAAAAAGAUAUCGAAGCCUAAUUAGGAGCUAAAAGGUGAUGCUACAUAUCAGUCCUGUCCAACCCAUGGCCCAUUGGCCACCCCUUGCCCCACACCAUCCAGUGUCAGCCCUGGGCACCCAUUGCUCCCAGCAGCCACACAGCGCUGUGUGAUGGGCACUGUGUGCACUGAACCCAGGGCAUGGGGACGCACAUGGCAGUGCUGGCCCCAGUGAUGGCCAAUGGCAGUGUGCACUGUGAUGCAUUGGCUAAACACAGUCCUGUGAGCAGCAAAAAAUAUGCACUGUGCUUUCUGUUUAGGUACAGGAAUUUGAGAAGAGGUUUCAAGAUUGCUGAAAAAAUCAAUUUUUUUUGCAUAUUUGUGAUUCCAUUUUCAGUCAAUAUAAAAAUAUUACCUGUGAAUUUUCAAAUGGAAUGUAUAGAGUUGCAAUCAGAUAUUCAACACAAAGAUCUGAUUGUGUCUCUUUACCAGACUUCCAUGAGCUUUCUCGUAUCAGAGAGAGAUAUCCCUCACCUCACAAUCACACCUUAUUCACAUCAUGACUUUUUGGCAGCACAGACAUUUGUGAACAACCACGUUCAAGGAAGAAGCACAGGAAAAGUCACAUUUCAUCCAACAUCUCUGACCAACACCACGAGACCUCACUGAACCACACCGAACCACACCAAUGUGUUCGCUUCACAACUGCAAGGUCACAGAUCCCAGUAGUUUGAUGGCUUUGUUGCUCUCUCUUUCUUAUGUUUUAAUAAGAAACACUAAAGAUUAAAAUGAAUUGUUACUUAUGUACACUUAACCAUAUUAUAGUUAAUAGGGCUGCUCCAAAAGUAAUGCCUCCUGUUUUAUGACGUCCACCCACCACAUCAGAGGCGGAUGGUGGUGGUACAGCAGUAGAGGUGGAACCUUCCCACCAAUAUCCCGUUCCAUGUUGUUGCUGUGUGACAGAUGGCAGCAGAAGGGCAG